rnacentral:rRNA from 1 species
AGAACGAACGCUGGCGGCAGGCCUAACACAUGCAAGUCGAACGCCGUAGCAAUACGGAGUGGCAGACGGGUGAGUAACGCGUGGGAACAUACCCCUCGGUUCGGAAUAACUCAGGGAAACUUGAGCUAAUACCGGAUACGUCCGAGGUUUUAAUCGACCUUGGAGAAAGAUUUAUCGCCGGAGGAUUGGCCCGCGUCUGAUUAGCUUGUUGGUGAGGUAAUGGCUCACCAAGGCGACGAUCAGUAGCUGGUCUGAGAGGAUGAUCAGCCACAUUGGGACUGAGACACGGCCCAAACUCCUACGGGAGGCAGCAGUGGGGAAUAUUGGACAAUGGGCGAAAGCCUGAUCCAGCCAUGCCGCGUGAGUGAUGAAGGCCUUAGGGUUGUAAAGCUCUUUUGCCCGGGAAGAUAAUGACGGUACCGGGAGAAUAAGCCCGGCUAACUUCGCGCCAGCAGCCGC